UAAAAGUUUUUGUUUAACAAUAAAUUACAUCAUACUUAAUAUUUUUAUUUAUAUCAAUUUGAACAUGCCAAUUGCCCCUUCAUAUUCAUGUAAUUUAUAGAUACUUAUGUAUUUUUUUUAAAAAAUUCGUUAAGUAUCAAACUAUCUAUAGAAGUUGCACUAUACUAAAAUAGUAUAAUCAAUAUCAGCAAUGUCCAUCAAAGUUUGAUUCAAAACCUGCAUUGUCCUCAGAUUAGUUUCAAAAAACGCAAAGUCCAUUGGUUUUUAGUGUUUUAUUUAUAUUUAGGACAAUAAAUACGUUGUUUUAUAAUAAUUAUGACUUGUAUUUUAUUGUUUGGUUUAUUAUUUAAUAAAUUUGUAAAGUCUACUUUAUGAUGAAGGGAGGAAAACGUUUAUUUCAUUUUAUUUAAAAUCAUUAACAUUGGACUUAGCUGUUUUUGAAACUAUACCCCUCAAAUAUAGAAUGAGCAUUUGACACAG